rnacentral:rRNA from 1 species
GACGAACGCUGGCGGCGUGCUUAACACAUGCAAGUCGAGCGGUAAGGCCCUUUCGGGGGUACACGAGUGGCGAACGGGUGAGUAACACGUGGGUGACCUGCCCUCAGCUCUGGGAUAAGCCUGGGAAACCGGGUCUAAUACUGGAUAUGACUCCAUGACGCAUGUUGUGGGGUGGAAAGCCUUGUGCGGCUGAGGAUGGGCCCGCGGCCUAUCAGCUUGUUGGUGGGGUGANGGCCUACCAAGGCGACGACGGGUAGCCGGCCUGAGAGGGCGACCGGCCACACUGGGACUGAGACACGGCCCAGACUCCUACGGGAGGCAGCAGUGGGGAAUCUUGCGCAAUGGGCGAAAGCCUGACGCAGCGACGCCGCGUGAGGGAUGACGGCCU